GGCCCAGGAACAGAGCUGAGACAUGCCCAAAGACGAAAUAAAAGAUAAAGUCGCCUUCGAACGGAGCUUGUCUCCUGGCAGUUUACGUAGACACAUCCAGGCACUUUUCUUAGCCGGAGAUCGAAAUGACUCGCCAUUGCCCUUUUUUCUUUUUGAUUUCUCAAUCUGGACUAUCGUUUUACUAAAGAGUAACCAGAAUCGACCCUGCACAGCUCUUUAGAUCCUUUGCCUGAACAACGAAGUCUUUUUUUUUUUUUUUUUAACCUGCGUGGCUGGCCAAUGAUCUUUGUCCUGGAAACUUUCAUUUUCACUUCUGAUCUUCCAAUAAUGUUAUUACAGUUCCUGAAAAACUGGGAAGGGAAAUAAUUACCUGAUACUGUUUAAGAGUCUAAAGGUGAGAUACCUGCUUAGUAAAGGAGGACCAAUAGUAUACACACUCGAAAUUUGGAAGGUUUUUUUUAAUUCUACUUUAAGUUGGAAGACUGCUAACCAAGACUCCUAUCAAAUUAAAAAAAAAAAUUGGCUUCCGGUUCCGGGUUGCGGCGCUCCUAGUUGCACGAAGAGACUCGGCUCCUUGUCGGCUACCCUCCCUCUGCCGGUGGACGCUUAUGCGGGUCUAAAGCGUCGAAGAGGUUUCGCUCGGCUGUGGAGGAGCGGCGGCUCCUCCAGCUGUCCGGGCCAGACUCUGAGGGCCGUCGGAGAAGAUCGGCCACUAAAAUGGCCGAUCACUUAGCCGGUAGAAACUGCAAGUCAAAGAACAGUUAAGCUUGAAAACCCACCGUUUUAGCUUAAAAAGGAGAUAUUUUUAGCCACCGGACGAAAAAGAUGGAAGCAGUAACCAAAGAAACUGAGUUUGAAUUCAAUUUAAUCUGAUUAAAAAUUAUACAAAGCACAAGUGGAACAACAUUCUUCUUACAAAUAUUGCACGUGAGAGCAUAUGGAUAUGUACAACUUUGCCAUUCUUUACAUCCAAGGUACUCUUGUCCUGAUAAGGUUCAAGAUGAAGUUGUGCAAAGGAAAAGGAAACCUGAUAAUAAUCCAAUUACUUCUCUGAUAAAUUGGCAAUUACCAGAAAUAUACCACCUGAACACAAAUUGCUUUAAGAAAUGAAUAUAACUUAUCUUACAAUGCAUUUAUGAAAUGAAAUGCCAGGGGCUCCCUCCUGAUGGAAGGCAAAUGGGAUAGUGAUUUUUCAUGGUUCCUUUUUUGCUCAGGUGAUUGGAUGGGUGAUUUUGGGAUGAGGAGACUGGAAGAGGAGACAAUUUGGCAACUGCCGAAUCUUCCCGUAGAUAAUUCAAAUUCAUGGCCUUCCCCUCUUCUCAACUCUAAAUUCCACCGCUAUCAAAUUCCAGUUAACAGUAAUUGGGUGGAAAAGUAUGCAGUCUGAAAUUGUGCUGUGAACGUUACUUUCCCUUAUAACCAGCCCCUCAAGCUAUACCCAGCAUGGCAGUACUUCAAAGAUUCCAAUUGAUGUAAUAGUCAGGGCAAACCUCAUCCCAUUUCCACUUGUCAACUUCCCUGGUGCUGUGAAUAGUUACAGUGGCCUCUGUGGGUGAUCAUACUCCGUCUCUCUUUGCAAAUUUUACUUGGUACGGAAUAGGACAUUUAAAAUAAGACAUUGGUAAUCUGAACAUUUUUGAAGCAAACUGAAAAAGACAAUAACUGGAAUUGGAUUCCGCACUAUCCAAUUCUUUGAUUAUAUUUAUAACCUAAAACAAAGGGAUGAAUACCACAUAAAAUUAAAGGACAGUGUAUUAAUAGAGCUAUAAACAUGUGCAUGACUGCAAAUAAAACACAGAAGAUACCUUUUACAGGUCAUAUUUGUAACCCACAAGAAAGGUUCACAAUAUGUGUUCAAGAUGUUGACUCUAGAAAACAGAAAACUUUCUGUGGAAGUUUCUAUUGAUUGGCUAGUUGGAUCUUCGGUAUAAGAAAUAAAUAAAAACUAAACCAUGAAUACUCUUUUGGGCUACAGCUACAAAAUCCAAAUAAGAAUUCAUUCAACACGGGGUUCCCAGUGGUUCCUUCCAUUUGGCUGCCCUAUGCCAUGCAAUGUAUCCUAGAACUACACACAGCAAACAGAGAAGUAUCUAGCUGAGUUAAAAAAAA